AUUGAAUGUAUAAAUUGCUUUGGGCAGUGUGGCUGUUUUAAUGGUAUUGAUUCUUCCAAUUCAUGAGCAUGAAAUAUUUCCCCAUUUGCAUUAUCUUUAUUUCUUUGAGCAGAGUUUUGUAAUUGUCCUAGUAGAGAUCUUUGACCUCCCUGGUUAGCUGUAUUCCUAGGUAUUUUAUUCUUUUUGUGACAGUUGUGAAUGGAUUGUGUUCCUGAUUUAGCUUUUGGCGUGGCUGUUGUUGGGAAUGCUAGUGAUUUUUGUACAUUGAUUUUGUAUCCUGAAACUUUGCUAAAGUUGUUUAUCAGCUUAAGGAGGUUUGGGGUCAAGACUGUGGGGUUUAGUAGAUAUAAAAUAAUGUUGUCUGCAAACAGGGAUAGUUUGACUUCCUCUCUUCCUAUUAGGAUGCCCUUUAUUUCUUUCUCUUGCCUGAUUGCUCUGGCCAGGACUUCCAAAACUUUGUUGAAUAGGAGUGGGGAGAGAGGGCAUCCUUGCCUCCUGCUGGUUUUCAUGGGAAAUGCCUUUACCUUUUGCCCAUUCAAUAUGAUGUUGACUGUAGGCUUGUCAUAGAUGGCUGUUAUUAUUUUGAACUAUGUUCCUUUAAUACCUAGUUUGUUGAGAGUUUUUAUCAUGAAGGGAUGUUGAAUUUUAUCAAAAGCCUUUUCUGCAACAUCCAUUUUUACCUCACAGAUCUUCAGGUCAGAAGUCUGUGUGGGCUCAGCUGGUUUCUUUGCUCGGGGUCUUACAAGGCCAAAAUCAACGUGUUGGCCAGGCUGAGCUCUUAUCUGGAGUUUCUUGGCAAUAAUCCACUUCCACACUCAUCUAAAUUGUUGGCAGAAUUCAGUUCUUUGCAGCUGUAGGUCUGAAGUUCCCAUUUACUUGCUGGCUUCAGCCAGGGGCCAUUCUUUGCUCCUAGAAGCUGUCCACAUUUCUUCUUAGAUGACCCUCUAUCUUCAGACCAAUAAUGUCCCAUCAAGCCCUUCUCAUACUUUAAAUCUCUCUCUCUCUCUCUCUCCUGCUGCCAGCCAGAGAAAACUCUGCUUGUAAAGUUUGUUUGAUUAGACCGUCCCACCAAAAUAAUCGCCCUUUGCCGUAAACAUAUAAUUAUCAGGGAAUUAACACCAGGGGGGCCAUCUUGAAAUUCUGCCUACUAUUCCCACUCAUCAGACUCUCAUAGAAGGUUAUGCUUUCCUUGUAGGUUCACUUAGUUAUCACUGUAUUAGGAGGUAACCUCCUUAGGGUAGUAUCCAUGGCUGAGUAAUUUUGUGAUACCCAGUCACACCUUCCACAUAGUAAACAUUCAUUACAUAUUGAAUGAAUUCAUUACUUUUUGUUAAAUGAAUUGUGAGAGAAAACAAUUAUUUAAAGUAUUUUAAAACAAAUUGUGAGGAGCAGUGUAGCAAUGUGCACUCAAAAGGUAUUGCUGUUUGGUUUUUUUUUUUUUUUUUUUUUUUUGAAGCUACAUUUCUUUAUGAUCAACCAGAGAGACUAAACAGUGGACUCAUGGGUUUGGACUCUAUUGCAAUUCAAGUGAGGUCAGAAGAAUUCCACAAAGAAAAAACUUAAAAGGCAUAAAGUAGCUAUUAUAGUAAAAUUAAUAUUUAGGGGAAAAAUCAUUAAUAAGAGAAAAGAGCAUUCUGAAAAACUGUGUUCCAUUUAAGUCACCUCAUUACCAGAUUCUUUAAGGAAAACCGGAGGGCGUUCUGAGACACAAAGAAUGAUUAAGAGGCUGUAGGGAUAAACUUACAAACAAAGAUUUUAAAAGGCUAAAUAUGUAUAGCUUAGCUGAAUAGUAACUAAAUAGAGAUCUAACUAUUGUCAAAUUCCUGAAAUCAAGAGAAGUAAUGUGUUUCUCUGAUUUUUUAAAAAAAAGAUUUGAGGGUCUCUUCUAUAAUUAUUGGAUUAAAUGAGGAAAAAGGAAACAAAAUCUUUUCUAACCAACUUAUAUGCAAUAUUUAGACUGCUGCAGUGUAAACUCUCAGAAUUGAAUUCAAAUCCCAACUCCUUUAUUUGCCACCUGGGGAAUUUCAGGCAACUCCUUUGACCUUUUAAACUUUGUCAUAUGUCAAGUGGGAAUUAUACCACCUACCUUAUCGGGUUAUUAUAAGAUUAAAUAAAAUUAUGUAAGUAAACAGUCAAGUCCCAUGCCUAGCACAGAUUGCAGGUUGAGAAAAAGAAUAGCUGCUAUUGAUAUCACCAUUGUCAUCAUCAUUCUUAAGUGGCUAAGAGUUCAAAGUGCUAGGUUUCAGACAAACCUAGAAUUCAACCAGAGUGCUUGAAUUCAGGCAAAUUCAAACUCUGUCAUUUAAUUCUGUCUCUAAGUCAUGGUUUCUUCAGUGUUAUAGUGAGGACUGAAUAAAAUAAUAUAAAAUGCUUAGCAUUAAUCCUGGCACGUAACUAAUCACUAAAUCAACAUAUCCAGCUGUAGCGCUAUUUUCAUUAUCAUUAGCACUAUCAUUAUUCCACCAUAGAACCUGGCCAAAAGCCUAACAUUUUUUUCAGAUUAUUUCCAAAUUUCCCCUGUUAUAAACAGUGCCAUGCAUGUAUCUUCUAUUUCUGCCAUUAUCACCGCCAUCACACAUACACAUACACAUGCUCACAAUUCAAAAUCACUUAUUACUUGUUGAAUUAAGUAAUUUCUUCUAAUGAUCAUGUCAGGUAUUUGUGGUUGUUAUAUGUGGCUAGGGAGGUACCAGAAUGGGCCUCUAUGUUUCUUACAUAAUCAAAUUUAUAGCAACAGAUUGAAGUGCAUUUUUUCAUUUCAAUAAAACUGAUAUGUAGAUUUAUCCAAAUUUUUAUAAGAAUCCCUGCACUUAUAAUAACAUUUUCAUUUGUCUUUUCCAUACAUAGGAACUCCCUAUAGCUACCAUUGCUUAUAAGAUUGUGUUACUGCAGUAAACAGAAUAUACUCUAGCUAGAUUUGGCAGAAA